rnacentral:rRNA from 1 species
AGAGACAGCAGUCGCCGCGGGAAUACGGAGGGUGCAAGCGUUAAUCGGAAUUACUGGGCGUAAAGCGCACGCAGGCGGUCUGACAAGUCAGAUGUGAAAUCCCCGGGCUUAACCUGGGAACUGCAUUUGAAACUGUCAGGCUGGAGUCUUGUAGAGGGGGGUGGAAUUCCAGGUGUAGCGGUGAAAUGCGUAGAGAUCUGGAGGAAUACCGGUGGCGAAGGCGGCCCCCUGGACAAAGACUGACGCUCAGGUGCGAAAGCGUGGGGAGCAAACAGGAUUAGAUACCCCGGUAGUCCCUGUCUCUUAUAC